CCUUAAAAACGGUUUCCCUAUCUCGCACGAUUAAAAAAAAAAGCCUAACACCACUAAACCUAAAAUGGCGGUCCUUCAUAAUCACAAUCGAUCGACUCUACUUACCUGCUUCCUUCUUUCUCAAUCUCAAUCGAUCGAUUUCAUCAACCAUCAAGCCUCUCACUACGACCGAUUGAUUCCUUCCACCAUCAAGCUUCUAAAUACGACCGCUCACAACCAGCAACAUCGUAUACAUCUAGACCUCCGCCUCAAGUAUCUUCGAUCGACGUGCACACCUUCCACAUCCUCCAUCCGCCCUCCAGUCCGGUCACCGUCGGUGUCAGCCCUAAUUUUAGAGAUUCACGUGGCCGGACCGCCCUCAAUUGGGCUUCAUUUUAUGGCAGAGAGGAACACAGUGGUGGCACUGAUGAAAUUUGGUGCGUAUGCAGGGGUGGUUGAUGACCCAACACCUAUGAAUCCAGGUGGACAAAUGGCUGCUGAGAGCUCCAGAAUCGGAAGCAUUAGACUAAGUGAAAAGGGCUGGAAAAAUACCUACGCCAAGCAACUUGGAACACCGCCCCCUAGUGCACAUUAGGGGGCUCGCCACCGGAGACUCGUUAUCGUGCUGGCGAGAAGAGAAAGAAGGUGAGAAACUAAUGUUAUUGGUCCGUCAAAUCUAUUCAUCAUUUUCACUCCAAGGGUAGAAUGGUGGAUCAGAGACCAAAGAACGAAGCUCUUGAAGGUUGCUGUUUUAUCUACCCUUGCUCUCUUGAGGGUGAUUGUAGCUGCUUCUUCAUCAACAGAGCAUGAAAAGUUCAUGUGAAGUGUAUCACAUUUUCUCAGACUGUUGGCAAUGCUUCUUUGAGAGAUGUAGUACAUUUUUUUUCUUACGUUGGGGGUGGCAAAGAUGGAUACACAGAUGCUGAUAUUGAUGAAAUUCGCAAAGAAUGGUCUUCUUUUGUGGCAACCUGUAUUUUUCGGUGAUAUUUUGUACCAACAAACAAUAUUUUGGUAACUUAGAAAUUUUUAUUAGCAUUUCAUAUAGGAUUUCUACAAUAUUUUUGAUAAAUUGUUAUUGCAUUUACAUAAUGCUGAUUUUGCUAUAAGUUUGCUUUGGAUAUAAAAAUUAAGUCAUUUUUGUA